GUUCCCUUGGCUUUAUAAAGUGAGCCCUCUAAGCAAAGCCAGCAUCUGUCUCUUAGUCAGACUGCAAGAAAAACUUCACAAGCAGCAUUCUGGUGAGACUUUUACUUUUCUUUGACCUUAUUCCUAUAUAACCAUUGUACUUGAAUAUACCAUAUAUAUUAUACAUAUUUAGAUUCCAUUUCUACUUAUUAAUAUUAUUUAAAUGAAGAGUUUUAAAGGUUUGUUUUUGGCCGUGCAUAUUUUGAAUUUGUUCUUCUUUAAUUGAAAUUAAACUUCAGAACAAAGAGAUUUUUUUCAAUACAUUGUGAAGACUGAACUUCCGGUUAUUUUAUAUUAUUUGUCAUUUGUUAUAUACAAAUAGAAUUAUCCUACUUUAAAUUAAUUUUUAAUUGUAAUUCAGCAACCUAAUGAGUUUAUUUCUUAAUAUUUCUCUGUAUUUUGAGUCAACAUACAUCAGUGCUGUUUAUAUUCCAUACUUGUACAGAAAAGUAUAAUGUUUAGAAAUCUGAUCACUUUAAGACGUAACUAGAAUACAUGUAGGACAGGAUUUUGGUUUUCUUGUUUAGGAUGCAGACAUAAUGUAAAACAUAUCAAUAAGUAGUUGUUUUUUUAGGUUUGCUUUAUUCAGCAGCUCCCAAAAAUGGCUCAGUAUGAUGGUGACACAUACAAAAAAGACUCGUACAAGCUGUAUGAAGCUGUCGCUCAGGUUGCCAGUGACUCUCAUGUCCCAAACAUCGCCUACUGCACUGUGGCUGUGGUGGCUGCUCUUGGCAAGUUGAACCUGGUCAGGUGGGAUGUGAAAUCCACAAGGUGUAAAGAAAUGGGAAAUAAAGCCAACCGUUUUGACUUUGCCUUCAAAACGGCUAUCAAAGACAGCAAGGUGGACAUCAAAAAGGCAGAAUUCCAGUGUUACAAUGAGAAUUUCCAACCAUCAAGUGGUUACAAGAAUCUACUGAAGCAGCAGAAUAUUGACCUCAUACCUUUGAAGUUUGAUGACCUAGUGAAGACAGCAGAGCUUAUAAAUAUAAUGGUGAAAGAGAGG
rnacentral:lncRNA from 1 species